GACGAACGCUGGCGGCGUGCUUAACACAUGCAAGUCGAACGGUAAGGCCCUUCGGGGUACACGAGUGGCGAACGGGUGAGUAACACGUGGGUGAUCUGCCCUGCACUUCGGGAUAAGCCUGGGAAACUGGGUCUAAUACCGGAUAGGACUCCUGGCUUCAUGGUUGGGGGUGGAAAGCUUUUGCGGUGUGGGAUGGGCCCGCGGCCUAUCAGCUUGUUGGUGGGGUAAUGGCCUACCAAGGCGACGACGGGUAGCCGGCCUGAGAGGGUGAACGGUCACACUCGGACUGGGUUACGGCCCGGACUGCUACGGGAGGCAGCAGUGGGGAAUAUUGCACAAUGGGCGCAAGCCUGAUGCAGCGGCGCCGCGUGAGGGAUGACGGCCUUCGGGUUGUAAACCUCUUUCAGCUAUGACGAAGCGCAAGUGACGGUAGUAGCAGAAGAAGGACCGGCCAACUACGUGCCAGCCGCCGCCGUAA
rnacentral:rRNA from 1 species